rnacentral:lncRNA from 1 species
GUUUAAAAAAACUCAGGAGUCAAGAAGAUGUCGUUUCCUCUUUAAGAAACCAUUGUCCACAAUCUCAGGAUGCACCUGAGUUGGUAAGGAUCUUGGUUCCAGGUUACAGAAACCCAAACAGAACUAGCUUAAGACAGACGAAGAAUUUAUUAUGAAGACACUAACAUGUCUCAUCGUGCCCAUAGACAGGAAUGGUGCUAAACUCUGAGAAUGCCUGUAAUCAGGACUCAUGUUCUGUCGGGAAAUUUGUGCCUUUUCUCUGUUUUUCACUCAGCGUUUGCUUAAAUCUUCUCUUGCUAUAUGCUGACCAGAUUCCUUUGUUUUACUUUUCCACAUGAAGCAAAAGGUAACUGCCAAUAGCUUCAAAAUGCAUAUUUUUUCACCCCAAGAACCCAAAGAAGACUGACUUCAGUUCAAGUUUCCAAUUUCUCUGGGAAUGACUCUAAUUGGCCCAAGUUUAUUAAGUGCCCACCUCAGACCAAUCAAAUGCAGCUGGAGGUGGAGUUCAAAAAUAUGGCCAGGAUAUUGGCAAGACAGUCCCAUAGAUGUCCAACACACUCC